GGAUGUGCCAACUCAGGUUUUUAAGUCCCCUCUAUCCUACCAAAGCUUUUAACAAGUUAUGAUUUAAUUAUUUAAGUUAUUAAAACUGUCCUACAGUGUUUUAGACAUCAAUAAUUUCAACAGAGACACUUACAAACAUAAUUGCCACAUGUACCACUUCACAAGAACACACCAGUUCAACAUUCAACCUGCAUAUAUUUGUAUAAAAUAAAUUCAUACAAAAAUAAUUAGCUCCCCUUACCUGGAAAACUUCAUAGUUUACUUGACAGGAUGAUCUAAAUAGUGCUCCUCACAGCAAAAUUCAAAGACACCCUAUAAAUCACCCAAUGAUAGAAUUAGCUUUUUAGGCUAGAAAUUACCAUAAGUUUGAAGUAGAACACUUCUAGUGGCAUGCAUUUAGUAAAAUAACAAUGCUCUAGGUGCUAGAAACGGUGGAUAAAAGAGAAAGUGACUUACCGGUUGGAACAAGAACUCGUUCGGUCCGUUACGGAGCCCUUGACGCGGGGAACGUUUGAGCACCACCUAUUCAAAAAUUGAACGGUUCAACAGGGUGGUAUUUUAGAGAGAAGGCAGAACAAUAUUUAGAAGAUGAGUUUUUUAGAGAGAGAAGGAAAAAGUUGGCAGAGUAGAAAGCUGACUUAGGAGAAAGACCCUUGCUAAGGUCAUGUGCCUUUGAUCUGAUGGGCCUGACUGCCCCACAUAAGGCCGAAAGGCCCCUUUAUUAAUUUUACAGGCCCUUACAUUCUAUUCAGAGUGGCGCAGCGGAAGCCUAGUGGGCAUGUGACACCCGGACACUAACACCCGGGCACUGACGAGGGCGGGGAGUGAUCGCCGGUGCAAGAGGCACGAAGUGCAAGGGACACUGACAAGGGGUGGCUCCUGACAGGCUUCCAGUGGAAAGAACACAUGGAUGAAUCGAACAUACACCGGAAUGAGAGGGAUCUAGAGACUGUAUAGGUAUGGGACUAUACAGUUGAAGGAUAGUUUAAAGGGAUUGAUUUGACUACUCAUAUCACCAAAAAUGCAUUUGCUUUUUGG
rnacentral:sRNA from 1 species